CAGAUACUAAUAAUAAACCACUGGACAGGCACUAAUAAUAAACCACUGGACAGGUACUAAUAAUAAACCAGGUACUACUAAUAAACCACUGGACGGGUACUAAUGAUAAACCCCGGGACAGGUACUAAUUAUAACCCAGGUUCUAAUAUUAAACCACUGGACAGGUUCUAAUAAUAAACCACGAGACAGGCACUAAUAUUAAACCAGGUACUAAUAAUAAACCACGAGACAGGCACUAAUACUAAACCAGGUUCUAAAAUAAACCACUGGACAGGUACUAAUAAUAAACCACGAGACAGGCACUAAUAAUAAACCAGGUACUAAUAAGAAACCAGGCACAAAUAAUAAACCAGGUACUAAUAAUAAACCAGGUACUAAUAAUAAACCACUGGACGCGUACUAAUAAUAAUCCAGGCUCUAAUAAUAAACCAGGUACUAAUAAUAAACCGGGUACUGAUAAUAAACCACUGGACAGGUACUAAUAAUAAACCAGGUACUAAUAAUAAACCACUGGACAGGUACUAAUAAU
ensembl:lncRNA